rnacentral:lncRNA from 1 species
CUUCAGACAAAUUUGAAAGGCAUUUAUGCAUCUAAUUCAUGCAAACUAAUGCUCCUGAAAAUUGCUGCUUUUUAAACCAAGUUUAUAAUAUCACUCAUUUUGGACGCUAAUCAUUUCCAACCAUUUGGAAUGCUGUUUUUAUUUGCAUAUCUCCAUGUAUGCAUGCUGAUCAUGACUAGCAUUGAUUCUUGGAUGUAAUACUGCUGUGUUCUUUGCCUGCCUUAAUAUUCAGUUUACUGUUACAGAAAAGCCAGACCACUCUUCCGAGCAAUGAGGUGUGUCUCACCGAUGUAAUGCAAGGACAUUCAACUAGAAUCGUGCUGCUGUAAAUACUGGAGUUACUAAUGCACUCUCAGAACACUACAUUAAUUAGGAGACCUGGAGGACAACUUACAAGUCCUUUGAAAGACUAGUUCCAGUUAUUGUAUGGAUCUGAUCCAUGCCAGGAAAGCUGUAUGUCUGCAGUCCUAUCAAAUGAAUGACCUCGCCUUUUAUGGUGAAUCUGAGCAGUGUCUCAUCGAGCCCCUCAGUGACUUCCAAGUGAUGACCAAAAGCCCAACUCUUCCCCACCUAUCAGUGAAAGACGUGAACUGUGGUCACUGAGAGUACAUGCACCUGCUUCCAGGAGACAAUCAGGGCACAAGCUUCUCACAUCUCCCCAGGGUCCAUGCAGGAUCUUAAGGGUAAGUUUGCCCUCUUUUGGGGGCUACUGUAUGGGAGUUAUAGUAUUUUUGCAUCAAACCCACAAAAACACCAAAAGCUGUUUUCUCAGUUGCUCCAGGCACUCCAGCAUCCUUGUUUAGUUGCUUUAUAAUGAAAUGUGUACACCUGAAAAUAUAUUUUGGGUCAUAUGCUGUAUUUUUCAACUAAUUACCUAAUAGAACAUUGGAUGAAAUUAAAACUGAAAAAUAUGUAUGAGCAAAUCUGGUGCAGAGACAAGGAUUAAAUGUAACCUUUCUCAUUGGGAAAUAUUGUUCACAGUAUCUCACCAAGACUUUUCAGAUAAGUUUCAUUAAAAUCUUUCAGUAAUUAGAUUUGGUUCUACUGUCAAAUGAAAGUUUCUGCCUGACAAAUUCCUUUAGAUUAAUGCAGAAAUUCAAAGAAGAAUUUGGGUUGCUUUUGAUGAGCAUCUAUAUUUUUCUGUUGAUGUUGUACUCGUAUAUUCCCUUUAUAAAGUGGAUGCCAGAAGCUUUUUUUCCCCUCUGGCCAACUUCACAUUCGUAUACUUUUUGAAUUUAAACUAAAAGAUUUAUUAAAAGAGGGGAAAAAAGAAACCAAACCACCCUCCCUCCCCUCCAAAAAAAAAAACACAACACAAAAUAAUAAUAAUAAUAAUAAUAAUAAUAAAACAACCACACACACACA